GGGUAUAUAGCUCAGUGGUAUAGAGCAUGUUUAGUAUGCACAAGUUCCUGGGUCUAAUCCCCAGUACCUCCA
rnacentral:tRNA from 1 species